rnacentral:rRNA from 1 species
UACGUAGGGUGCAAGCGUUGUCCGGAAUUAUUGGGCGUAAAGAGCUCGUAGGCGGCUUGUCGCGUCGGCUGUGAAAACCCUGGGGCUCAACCCCGGGCCUGCAGUCGAUACGGGCAAACUAGAGUUCGGUAGGGGAGACUGGAAUUCCUGGUGUAGCGGUGGAAUGCGCAGAUAUCAGGAGGAACACCAAUGGCGAAGGCAGGUCUCUGGGCCGAAACUGACGCUGAGGAGCGAAAGCGUGGGGGGAGCGAACAGG